CGCACAUUGCGCCCUUUGGCAUUCCGAAGGGCAUGCCUGUUCGAGCGUCAUUAUCACCCCUCAAGCCCCCCUUCGUAACUGAAGCCGGCUUGGUGUUGGACGGUUUGGUGUCGGCAACGUCACCCCUCCCAAAGACAAUGACGGUGGCUUCGUGAGACCCCCGGUACACUGAGUUCCUCACCGAACACGUACUGGACCACGGGUAGACGGAGCCCCGGUCGACCCUCCUCUAGGGGAGAAUUUUUCUCAGGUUGACCUCGGAUCAGGUAGGAAUACCCGCUGAACUUAA
rnacentral:misc_RNA from 1 species